rnacentral:lncRNA from 1 species
GUAGAAAAUAAAUGUCCUCUUCCCAGGGACACUCUCUAUUUCACAGAUCUAUAUCUAAGUGUCGGUGAUCCCCUUUCUCCUUCCUUCUCUGAGAGACAAUGACAAUGACGUGGGCGCGAUUCGAUUCGUGGAAGCAGCAAUACUACACCACAAGCGGCGUGGUGGUAGGUUACGCAGUAUGCUCCAGCCUCCUGGCCAUCAUCAACAAAUACGCCAUCACCAAAUUCAACUACCCAGGCCUCUUAACCGCGCUCCAGUACCUCACCUCCGCACUCGGCGUCUACGUCUUUGGGAAAUUAGGGUUUCUCCACCACGACCCCUUCACCCUCCCCACCGCCAAAAAAUUCUUCCCCGCCGCCCUCGUCUUCUACCUCGCCAUCUUCACCAACACCAAUCUUCUCCGCCAUGCCAACGUCGACACCUUCAUCGUCUUCCGAUCCCUCACCCCUCUCCUCGUCGCCCUCGCCGACACCGUCUUCCGCAGCCAGCCCUGCCCCUCCAACCUCACCUUCCUCUCCCUCCUCGUCAUCCUCGCCGGCGCCUUCGGCUACGUCGCCACCGACUCCGCCUUCACCCUCACCGCCUACUCCUGGGCCUUCGCCUACCUCAUCACCAUCACCACCGAGAUGGUCUACAUCAAGCACAUGGUCAUGAGCCUCGGCCUCAACACAUGGGGCUUCGUCUUCUACAACAACCUCCUCUCUCUUAUGAUGGCUCCCUU